GGCGGUGUUUGGCACCUCGAUGUCGGCUCAUCACAUCCUGGGGCUGAAGUAGGUCCCAAGGGUAUGGCUGUUCGCCAUUUAAAGUGGUACGCGAGCUGGGUUUAGAACGUCGUGAGACAGUUCGGUCCCUAUCUGCCGUGGGCGCUGGAGAAUUGAGGGGGGCUGCUCCUAGUACGAGAGGACCGGAGUGGACGCAUCACUGGUGUUCGGGUUGUCAUGCCAAUGGCACUGCCCGGUAGCUAAAUGCGGAAGAGAUAAGUGCUGAAAGCAUCUAAGCACGAAACUUGCCCCGAGAUGAGUUCUCCCUGAGACUAUAAGUCUCCUGAAGGAACGUUGAAGACGACGACGUUGAUAGGCCGGGUGUGUAAGCGCAGCGAUGCGUUGAGCUAACCGGUACUAAUGAACCGUGAGGCUUAACCUUACAACGCCGAAG
rnacentral:rRNA from 1 species